ensembl:lncRNA PCBP1-AS1 PCBP1 antisense RNA 1
GAACACAAAAUGGCGACACGUGGUUAGCAUUCGUCGCCAACGAGAAAUUGGGGUCGGCCCGAAAGCUCUAGAAUGCACCCCUCUUCCUCCCCGGGGCCUUCCACCUCCGCGAGUUUUAUGACUUAAAAAAGCCCACAGGCUGGUCUGAAGGUCGGAGGCCUAAUUUUAACGCGUUUUCCUCCCUUUAAUUUGAAACGGGAACGCGAAUGACUGUAAAAUAGGAAGACAAACAUAAAGAUGAAGUGCUUAAUUCAAGGUCACACAAUGUCGGGGAUGGACCUCCAGAUUUCCUUACUGACCUGCAUUAUCUUGUGGAUACCUGAGUGAAUUCCACACCACCCAUUUUAUAGAUGAAACCACUGAGACAUGGAGCAAUUGACUGAGUAGUCACUGCCCCACCCCUGCCUGGAGCCUCACACAUGACUCGCCUCCUCUCAGUGACCACAGGUUGGUUGAGGGGUUUAACAAGGCUAAGAAGGUGAGACGUGGUCUUGUAACACAGUGGUUAAGAAUGUGACUUUGGAGCCAGCCUGCUAGGGGCUGAAUUCUGACUCAGCCAUUUACUAACUGUGUGACCUUAGGGAGGAGGACCUGGUUGAUAGAAGAAUUUAUCUCGUAGUCUUAACAUCCACUGUAAUUCCAAACUUUGAGGACGAUAGAGAUCAGUGGGCUUUGACUGCCCAGCAUGCAGUCUCCAUUCUUAGGUGGGUUCCCAAGCCUGUAAAAUGUAAGCCUUAUGCUGCUGAGGGCCAUCUUGCCACCCUGAGGGAAACGCUGCCUGAGAAUGAAACAAGCAUAAGUAAAAGCUGAGCUGUGAGAUGGAGCAAGAUGAAGGCCACAUGACAUCUUUGGAGCACCUGGAUCUAACUGUGCCUUAAGCUAGUCUAACCCUGAACAUUUCAUCAUUUCAUUGACAUGAGCCCAGGUUUUCUUUUUUUUUGGAUGGAGUCUUGCUCUGUCGCCCAGGCUGGAGUGCAGUAGCUCAAUCUCGGCUCACUGCAAGCUCCACCUCCCGGGUUCACGCCAUUCUCCUGCCUUAGCCUCCCAAGUAGCUGGGACAACAGGCGCCCACCACCACUCCCAGCUAAUUUUUUGUAUUUUUAGUAGAGACGGGGUUUUACCAUGUUAGCCGGGAUGGUCUUGAUCUCCUGACCUCAUGAUCCGCCCGCCUCGGCCUCCCAAAGUGCUGGGAUUACAGGUGUGAGCCACUGCACCCAGCCCUCAGGUUUUCCCUUUUUUUACCCCUCCUUUUGAAAAUUUGAUGUGGAAUUUUGCCACCUGCAGCCAGAAGAGUUUUAACUAAUCAGUGCCAUAAAUUUUAUAUAGUUCUCCUUGCAAAAUGUGGAUCAGCCUUUCUCAGCAAAUCCUUUGUCAUAAAGUGCUGAAUUGUAAGUUUGUCAUGAGAAUCACAUGAGAUCAUGCAUGUGAAGAACCUGGCAUUAUCCUCCUCAUAGAAAAAAACCAGUAAAUAUUAACUACAGGAAGCAAGGAAGGAGUGGGGUGAGGGGAAGAAGAAGGGGUACUGAUUUAAAAGAACCCUGGAGUCCUAAGGAUAAUCUAGGAACCCUCAGACCCAAUCCGAUACCCCUAUUCUAAAUGCUCCUAGUGCCCUGUACCUUCCCCUCAUAAGCCUUCAUUAUCAUUGUAAUGAUAUGUUUAUGUAAUAUUUUGAUUAAUGUCUCUCCUUCACUGACCUAGCAGUUCUAGCAGGGCAGUGAUUUUGCUGUGUUGCAUCCCCAGCACCUAGUCUGGUAUGUGGCAUUCAGCAUAUGUUUAUUGAAUGAAUGGCCAUGUGGUUAUUCAGAUCCUCCUUGAUUAUUGGGGUUAGGAUUGUGGCAGAAGUGGCAAAAUCAGGGAGAGUAGUCCCUGUCCCCUCUGUAUCUUAUACACUGCCCACACUCCCAACACACAUACACAUACAGAGAAUUUUGUCUCAAUUAGAUAAUUAACUUCUGCUUGGUUGUAAACCAAACCACUGGUUCUUAAACUUUCAUUGGAUCAUUUUAUUGAAGAAUUAAAUAGUGUGGUUCUGGCCUAAUGUCUGGAAAGCCUUGCAGAGGAGUGGAUUAGGUCUUUGUGAUAAACAGGCAGCCUUCCCUGCUCCUGUGUCUUUAUAAAAUCUAUUUAACUGGAGUAGUCCACCCUCCCUCAGGCUCUUACAGGAAUAUGUUGGAGGCUGUAGGAAGGUGGGAAACCGAGAGGGAAAGGACUGGGCCGCUGGAGACUUCACUCAUUCCCUAGCAAGAAACAAAAGCAGUAAAAGGUGGCCCGAGGACAACCUGAAGCUCACUCCUUCAGCACUUUUGGCUGGAGGUCACUUGUUGGAGCCCCACUCAGAGCUCAGCACACCACCCCACCAGCAGCCUCCUCCUCCCAGCUGAGGCUGCAUUUCAUCCCUUCCCCCAGCCUGCUUUCCCUGAGAUAGGGGAGUGUUUCCCAGGGCCCAUGUGACUUCCACUGGCAAGUGACGAUUACCAAUGGUUUACUAGUCAGUGAAACUACCAAAGGCUUUUGUGCUGUAGUAAUCCUUUUCCUGUUUAAAACUCUGGGGAUUUUCUAAUGUUGCCAAUAGUUUUUCAAGUCAGCAAUUACUGUGUGGAUUAUGUAAUGGCUCGGUAUUAAAAA